UGGAAAGUGGCCCUGGCUUUCUUACUGUGUUAUAGAGAGACACAGAAAGGGACUACAAGCUGACAGCUGGAGAUUCUGACAGAGAAAGGAGUAUCUGUCCUUCCUCUACUCCAAAGGCGCCAUGAGAUACCAGGGAAAGGAGACAUCGAAAGUGAUCAAAGGAGUCCCUGCUGUCAUUGCUGUCAUCCUAAUCUCUGUCUGUGUAACUGUGAGCAUCAUGACAGAGGUCCACUAAACACAGGAUGCAGCUCGUUAUACCAAGGGCAUGGGUCAUGCCCAAACCUUCCAUGAUUUGAGGUCCCUCUAACAUUUGCCAUGGCCAUCAAAGCGUGUCUUGACUUCAGCUCUGCCCCCGUGAGAACAAACGUGGUCAUCACCAGGGGAGCAGAUGCCUACCACACGUUAUCGUCUGAGGGACUGAGAGGAAGACCAGUCAAUCUGCUUCAUGUGGUUCCCAAAGGCGGGAACAGGACCAGUGGCAUGGAUUAUGGGGUCACAGCUACUCAGGGGAGCAAACCCUAUAGCAUCAAAGAUGGUAGACUUGUAAACAAGACCCCAAAUGCUGAAAUUCGGCUCAGUGAGGCCCAAAGAACUACCCCUCCUCCAUCUCUAGAGAUGACCUACACUAGGGGAGGCGGGUAGACCAGCUGCCCCCAAGUCCUACUCAGCUUCAAGUCUCCCAGCUGAGCCAAGAGCUGAGUGGGGAGCUGCCCUAGGCAUCCUUUGUCCUGUUCCUGGCUGGUAAUUGACAGAGUGAAUGGCCGCUAAUGAAGAACAGAGUGGGACUUCCUGGGAGGUGUCGGAGACAGCCAGAAAGACAACUGCUAAUUACCAGUGCCAGCUGGUGGCCCUGAGAGACCAUGCUGACAGAAAAGAUGAUGGUUGAGAGGGGACCAGGCAGGAAGACGCUUCAGGAAGACGGCUUAUUCUAAGGCCUCCUGCACCCAGGAACUGGCUCCAUGGAGUGAUGGGUGAAGAGAUCAAGACCACCAUCCCUGCUCUCUUUCCUGGUCAAGCCUUGCGGGGAGCUCUUUGAUCACUAACAUAAUUCUAGUGUCCUUCAACUGUCCUUGGCUGUUAGGCUGAGCCAGCUUUCUCUCCCUCCCAGACUCCAGCACUGAGUUCCCUUCCUGUUGUUCAUCCCUGCCCCUGACUCUGUCUACACCAUUGGCAUCUUGCUUCAGUAACUCCUGGAUCAAGCUGUGGGUAGCAGCAGCCCAAUCCCUCACUGGCCCUGGGUAAGUGAAGCAGGAUACCAGGAGCUUGCUGGUGAUCCCCGCUUACAGCUCCAUGAAGGGAAUGGGACAGUGAUCAUGUUGAAGAGGGAGCUCUAAGUGAGGUAGAUCGGCAACGUGGCCCGUCAGUCAUUAGGGCAAGCUAUCUCUCUGCCGGCCACUGGAGUGUCUGGUAGCUGCCUUCUUUGGUGUCCCUGCCUCUUAAUUCUUCCUCAGUUCUUCCUUCUUCUAGUCUGGAGCUGUCUCUCUCUGCGUGGAGUAGGUCUCAGUUUCUCUUACACCUGGGGCCCCUGAGCCUCACCUGCCCUCCCUCAGAUCCACUGUCCCCUCAUGGGUCCCUCUCCCUAACCUCUGGGCCACACUCUGGGUCUUGAUCCUUGAGGGCCAAGGGCCCUGCUGGGUUGGAAUUCUGAUUAUAUGCACCUGCCCUAUAUAAUUCUGAUUAUAUACAGCCUGCAUCUGUCCUGAGAGGCUCAGCACCUCCUUCCCCUCCUCUCUCUGUCCUCCCCUUCAUUUGGGCCCUGCCACCGACAGGCAUGUGCUGCUCUAGGGCAGGGAAGACUUCAGGGGCCAGACUGACUCCUCUGCAUCUCAACUGUCCCUUUCCCUUAGAGGUGCUGAAAUCCUCAGCUGAGAUGGUAGCAGGAGAGCCCCGAGCACACCUCCCUUCCCCCUGUAUUGUCUGCCAGAGUCAUAGAAACUGCCAGUUGGCGGCUUCAAUGGUUGGCAAUGCUGGAAGCCUUAAGGCUACAGCCCAUGUAUGGGCAGCUGGAGCCUCCUUCAGGUUCCAAGGGAGGCAGUUCUGGCACUCCCUGGCAUCUUGGCCAUCUUGUUCUCUCUUCAUACAAACUUCUUGCCUGUGUCUCUGUUUUGUUUUGUUUUUUGUUUUUCAACUCCAGAGUUUUUGUAGCUUUGGAGU